rnacentral:lncRNA from 1 species
UUUAUUUUGAACAAUGAAGGACUUCAACAGGUCACCAAAGGUGACGAAAAGCAAGCAGAAGAUCAGGAGAUACAGCUAUGAAAGUUAAUAUUCCAGAUAUAUGUUCUGUUACAGUUUGCCACCAGAUAUGAAAUCAAUAAAAUUUAUGGGGUACCAAAUUUCUUGCCGCAGUUUAUCGACCAAAAGCAGGGACAAAGAAGAAUGAAAAUCCUGAAAAAGCUUGCAUUGAGGUUAUUUGGAAGCCUAAAACAAGCCAGAGUGGAAAAACAUAAAGGGAAUAUGACAUGAUAUUGAAAAGGACCUUGCAAAGCAUCUGUAUAUAGACAUUGGACUGUGUUACUUAGAAGGUAUGAAUUGCCAAGACGUGGAACUCUGUUUUAGUU